rnacentral:rRNA from 1 species
AGUGAACGCUGGCGGUAGGCCUAACACAUGCCAGUCGAACGGCAGCACAGUAAGAGCUUGCUCUUACGGGUGGCGAGUGGCGGACGGGUGAGGAAUACAUCGGAAUCUACUUUUUCGUGGGGGAUAACGUAGGGAAACUUACGCUAAUACCGCAUACGACCUACGGGUGAAAGCAGGGGAUCUUCGGACCUUGCGCGAUUGAAUGAGCCGAUGUCGGAUUAGCUAGUUGGCGGGGUAAAGGCCCACCAAGGCGACGAUCCGUAGCUGGUCUGAGAGGAUGAUCAGCCACACUGGAACUGAGACACGGUCCAGACUCCUACGGGAGGCAGCAGUGGGGAAUAUUGGACAAUGGGCGCAAGCCUGAUCCAGCCAUACCGCGUGGGUGAAGAAGGCCUUCGGGUUGUAAAGCCCUUUUGUUGGGAAAGAAAAGCAGCAGGUUAAUACCCCGCUGUUCUGACGGUACCCAAAGAAUAAGCACCGGCCAACUUCGUG